UUUUCAAAUGCUCAUAUUCUGUUACUGAUUUUUUAUUCACUCUUGAUUAUUUCUUUCUUAAGUUUAUCAUUUCUUCAUCUCCCUUAACCCUAUUUUUUGGCCGAUUCUUUCUAGAGAUCUCCUAGAUUUUUUUCUUCUUCUAGUUCAUGCUUCUUCUUUUCCAUCAUAUUUCCUUAAAUUUCCAGAAAGAUUAUCUCUUGUUGAUUUGAGCUUGAGAAGGAAAACACUUGGUGGUGAUCAAAGCAAGGAGGCAUUUGAAAAGUUAUUUUGAACCUUGAUUUCAUUUUGAGGCAAAAUGGGAUCCUUUAUUUGGUUAUGUGUUGGCUUGUACAUUUGCUACUUGUUAGUGUAACCAAAGCCUGUAGAACCGCGCUUGACCAAACAUCGCUUGAAACGAUCCUUCGGGCAUGCAGCUGAAACUUUUGUUGUAGUAUAUGAGGCCGCAACCCCAACCAAGACCACCCAGCAAACAGAACCAAAAGAAUCCAACCCAAAUAAAAGACACACCAGGCGUACUGGGACAAGACACACCACAAUAAGAGGGACAUCAUCCUUGCUAUAGCAGUGCCCGGAUACUGCGUUUCAAUAAAUGGCAGCUAUAUCAUACGAGUAAAUGAAAUUAGUCAUGGGAUGACACUACUUGAUUAGCUCGAAGAUGGAAGGUAUGCUCCCAUUCAUCUAGAGUGUGGGAUGGUAGUUGUGAUAGGUUGAAUCCCCUCGUAGUAGUGUGAAAAGAAAGUUAAGCUAAAUUUAUGUUAAGUUAAUGUUAAUGGGAGUAAAUGUGUGCUUAAUUGGUAAAGAAAUGCUAAAGCAUAAUAGGGAACUUAAUUAGAAUUUUUCUAACUUCGUAAAGAAUGGACUGGAUAUAAUCACGCACACACAAUGCAAAUGGUCUUGCUCUAGGGAUAAAAUUUUAUCUCAACACCACUGCCUUAACUGAACUUUUUCCAUGGCAUUAUUUUCUGCUAUUAUUAUCCAUUGAUGGAGGAUAAGAAAUAGCUUAAGUUUGGGGAUUGAUAUCCCCAUAAAAAGGUUGUAUUUUUGUGCCUUUUUACUUAGGUUAUUGUUUGUUUUAAGGCCCAUAUCAUAGCAUUUAGAUUGCAUUUAGGUCAUAUAGUUGCAUUUGGAAGGUAAAGUCUUGUUGCAACAUAAAUUUAUUAAAAAUUGGUGCUGCAAAGGGAAAGGUCUUGCUUUUUGUGGUGUUGUGCAGGCAAUGAAAACUUAAAGAGAAGAUGUAGUCGUUAUAUCAUGUUGGAGAAAUUGCCGCUAUACCAUUCUUAGAUAGAACGCUGAAAGACUUGUUGCAUCGAAAGAUGAUAACAAAUAUGGAGCAAAAAGACAAAAUAGAAAAAAUAUCUUUGCCAAGCUAUCCAACCACACAUGACUACCCAUGCUUUAGAAUUUGAGACCACCUACCACAAUAACCGCCUAUCCACAUGAGAAAUUUUGAGCCCAAAAUCCUAGAAAUGUUCCCUUUAUAAAUACUAAGGUACCCUAUAUUUUUAUGAGAGCAUUUUGGGAGUGACCUAAGAGAGAGGCAACUACACGUUUUCAUUUCCUUCUUCUUUUUUCAUCCCUUUUCAUGGUAUCCCUAGACCUCCAGAGAGUCUAGCUUGCUAGGGAGAUGCAUAAUGGUAGGGCUAGGCAGCUCAUUUGGAAAUCUUUCUUCUCCUUGUGCUUUAUUUUCUAUCUUCUUGGGCUUGUACUAAACUUGGAUAUUUUUUGAUGAACUUAGCCACACUAUGUAUUACCUUAUUUGGCGUUGGA